rnacentral:tRNA from 1 species
GGGCCGUUAGCUCAGUUGGUAGAGCAGUUGACUCUUAAUCAAUAGGUCCAAGGUUCGAAUCCUUGACGGCCC